GUUGCAACCAUCUCUCGCACAGCGUGAUAGGCAUCCUCGUACAGCCGUAAUGCUUCAACCCAAUCUCUGCAAAAUUCUGCAUAUACAGCAGCUUUGAAACAGCAUCGAAUAUUCAGCUCAGCAGAAUGGAAAUUUUUCCUUUCGAGACGUGCUUUAAUUCUUCUUCCUUCCUCCUUGUAAUAAGAAUUGGCUAAUUCUGAAAAUGUGUUUCCCAACCUGAUAAGGGACUGUUGAAGUUCUGAUUCACUUGGAACAAAGGUGAUAAGAUACUUGGAGUCCAGUUCUGCACGCUUUCUGAGAGCAAUCAUACGGUCUUCACUUAAAUCAUCUUUAGAAUUUGAUGGAGCAACAACCACCACGACCAAUUUUACGUUCCUUCCGCGUAAUACACCUUUGAGAUUUUCAAGAUCGGUGCAGACCUGAAGCCACUGAGCUGGAUCGCCG
rnacentral:misc_RNA from 1 species